UUCGUAGCGUAGGAGUAUGGGUAGUAUGGUAAUUCGAUGAAAUUCUCAUUUUAAAAUGGCUCGACUCUAUUUUUAGGGCUCCUACACCCAAAUUCCUUCUGUUGAGUUAGGGUUUUAGGGAGCCAGAAAUGGCGGGGGAAGACGAUGACUACAGGUUUCUUAUGAUUUCAUCAUAACAGAAAGCAUGCCUGAUAGGGGUUGUGGUUUAGUUUCGUGUUCCAAGGUAGACCAUGGGAACUGGGUAAAUUUGGGUAAGACUGCAUAUAUUAUGAUCCUAGAAGACCCUGCAAUGGCUGAGCCUCUCCCUCUCCAUUGGUACGCUCUUUCUUUAUCCCGUAGAGAAGGCAUGUGAACAAGGGGGGUCGUUAACUUGAAUGGGCCACAAGCAAAUGGACAUGAACAAACAUGUUAAUUAAUUUAAUUAAAUUGCUGUAGAUUUUUUUUUGGGGUCAAAAGCCUGGACCCAUUAUCUACUCCAAGCUUCAUGGAAGUGGAUCAAAGGUGUCUCUUCUAUUGGACAUGAACAAACAUGUUAAUUAAAUUUCUAUACAUAUUAUUUAUUUUUUGUCAA